GCAGGGUGUAGUGGUGACACCUGUAAUCCCAGCAGCUCAGGAGGCUGAGGCAAGAGGAUCACAAGUUCAAAGCCAGCCUCAGCAAAAGCAAGGCGCUAAGCAACUCAGUGAGACCCUGUCUCUA
rnacentral:sRNA from 1 species